AGCGCAGCGGACGUCACCAAGGGUCAAUGCAAUAUGACGGUGGACAUCUUCGAGAUUGUCAGUUCGCAGGAUGUGAAUAGCCUGAAUUUAGGCCGACCGUUAACCUGCUGAUACCGCUUCCGUACGCUGAAAGGUGCACCGUGGGACUUUGUGUUGCAGUUGCGUUUUAAAAAAUUUAAAGUUGGCACACUGCUCAAUGCAACACAUUGUGAGGACGGCUAAUUACAGCUCAUCGUUCCAUCGAAUAUGACAUUCUCCGUGGCCAACGCGCAAAGGAUCAUAAGUCUUCCGCAGAACCUUUCUCUCAAAACUAGUUGCGUCGACUCAGCAGAUGUUGUCAUCGUCCAUGCCUCUGCAACAUAUGGCAGGACGGGAAUAAUUAGUGACUUAUAGAGUUUGGUAACAAAUAUAACUACGAAACUUUUAUUCUAGACAUAUAAAACACCAUACAGAGUCUCUAAUGGGCACCAUCAUAUUCAGGCAUAACAUAACUCGUUCACAGGCAGUACAAUAUAGCAGCAGCGGUCCGCUUACUGCAUCAUCAUUGACAAAUGGUGUCUGCAACAGAGUGGUCCUUACACAAACCAAAACCCCACUGCUGAUGUACAACCAUUGGACAUUCGCGCCACGCGACUGGCCGCUGCAUGACAAAGACGUAAUGCAAGCGAUUAUAGAUACUUACCUCCAUUUUUCGGUGUGUGAGGAGGUAAACUAUGCGAAGAUACAGCUGGCAGAGAUUAUCCAUUUUUGACGGCUUCACAACACGCUUUUGCCCGCGUGAUCAAGCAGGAAGUAUAAAUAUGACACAAUACAUAUUUAUUAACUGUUAUAUAAUGGUUACCUGUGCUUAUACAUUUUCUUCUUCUUUUCACUUCCUAUAUCUUUAUUUUAAAUGCCUUGUCCGAGUGUAUACGCAACAUAUAGCGGCAUAAAUUAAUGGCUGUUGCCGCUUUAUGGAGGCGCGAAUCACGCUGAUCCACUUACAUGCAUAUUUACAUCCAGAAUGAUAAUUAAUGGAACGACAGUACUUUAUGUGCAAUUGAGUUACAAUAUUUGCAUGUAGAGGUAGAAAAUUGCUGAAGAAAUAUACAAACGAUAUCUACUGAAAGGUUUUAAGUUUUAAAAUAGCAAAUGUUUUUGAAAUUUAAUGUUAAAGAUGAUUUAAUG